rnacentral:rRNA from 1 species
UGGGGAAUAUUGGACAAUGGGCGCAAGCCUGAUCCAGCCAUGCCGCGUGUGUGAAGAAGGCCUUUUGGUUGUAAAGCACUUUAAGCGAGGAGGAGGCUACUUGGAUUAAUACUCUAGGAUAGUGGACGUUACUCGCAGAAUAAGCACCGGCUAACUCUGUGCCAGCAGCUGCGGUAAUACAGAGGGUGCGAGCGUUAAUCGGAUUUACUGGGCGUAAAGCGUGCGUAGGCGGCUUCUUAAGUCGGAUGUGAAAUCCCUGAGCUUAACUUAGGAAUUGCAUUCGAUACUGGGAAGCUAGAGUAUGGGAGAGGAUGGUAGAAUUCCAGGUGUAGCGGUGAAAUGCGUAGAGAUCUGGAGGAAUACCGAUGGCGAAGGCAGCCAUCUAGCCUAAUACUGACGCUGAGGUAAGAAAGCAUGGGGAGCAAACAGG